rnacentral:rRNA from 1 species
UACAGAGGUGGCAAGCGUUGUUCGGAAUUACUGGGCGUAAAGGGCGCGUAGGCGGCCUACUAAGUCAGACGUGAAAUCCCCCGGCUUAACCUGGGAACUGCGUCUGAUACUGGAAGGCUUGAGUAUGGGAGAGGGAUGCGGAAUUCCAGGUGUAGCGGUGAAAUGCGUAGAUAUCUGGAGGAACACCGGUGGCGAAGGCGGCAUCCUGGACCAAUACUGACGCUGAGGAGCGAAAGCCAGGGGAGCAAACGGG